UACGUAGGGGAGCAAGCGUUGUCCGGAAUCAUUGGGCGUAAAGCGCGCGUAGGUGGCCUCAUAAGUCCGCUGUGAAAGUCAAAGGCUCAACCUUUGAAAGCCGGUGGAUACUGUGAGGCUAGAGUACGGAAGAGGCGAGUGGAAUUCCUGGUGUAGCGGUGGAAUGCGCAGAUAUCAGGAGGAACACCAAUAGCGAAGGCAGCUCGCUGGGACGUUACUGACGCUGAGGCACGAAAGCGUGGGGAGCAAACAGG
rnacentral:rRNA from 1 species